CAACAUCGAAAGGAGGUGGUCCAGUGUCGAGAGUGAUGUUGGAGAACGGAGCCGGGACAGUCAGGGGGGUCAGCGCCUGAGGGCAGCCCCAAGGGUGCCAAACCCUGUCUGGGACGGACCUUUCCAUCCCUAACCGGACCAUCUUCCUGAUCUCGCGGGCCGUCCCCAGGGGGCGGCCC
rnacentral:misc_RNA from 1 species